rnacentral:rRNA from 1 species
GACGAACGCUGGCGGCAAGCUUAACACAUGCAAGUCGAACGCCGUAGCAAUACGGAGUGGCAGACGGGUGAGUAACACGUGGGAACGUGCCUUUCGGUUCGGAACAACUGAGGGAAACUUCAGCUAAAACCGGAUACGCCCUUCGGGGGAAAGUUUACGCCGAAAGAUCGGCCCGCGUCAGAUUAGGUAGCUGGCGGGGUAAUGGCCCACCAAGCCGAUGAUCUGUAGCUGUUCUGAGAGGAAGAUCAGCCACACUGGGACUGAGACACGGCCCAGACUCCUACGGGAGGCAGCAGUGGGGAAUAUUGGACAAUGGGCGCAAGCCUGAUCCAGCUAUGCCGCGUGGAUGAAGAAGGCCUUCGGGUUGUAAAGUCCUUUCGGCGGGGAAGAUAAUGACGGUACCCGCAGAAGAAGCCCCGGCUAAUUUCGUGCCAGCCGCCGCAGUAACAC